UCCCUCUUAGCUCAGUUGGUAGAGCGCGUCACUAGUAUAGUCGACCAAAAGCACAAUUGAUGACGAGGUUAGUCGUUCAAGUCGGCUAGAGGGAA